rnacentral:lncRNA from 10 species
AUCUUAUAUUUCAUCUGCCAAGGUCGGAUGAUGUCUAUUAUUGUAUCAUCAAAUUCCCUGAUGUUUUCCUCUCUGGCCUGCAUUCUGCUGUUAAGCCCAUCUCCAUUGAGGUUUCUAUUUUGGUUCUAUGGUAUGUUUCAGUUCUGAAAUUUCCACUGGAGUCUUUCCAUCUUCUUCAUUGAGUCUUCUCUAUUUUUGCAUUUGUUGUAAGAGUUUAUUGAAGCAUUGCUUACUGAAGCAUUUUUAUGAUGACUAUUUAAAAAUCAUUGUCAAUAAGUAAAAUAGUGUAACUGGAUGUUUGUAACACCAAAGAUACAUGCUUGAGGGGAUGGACACCCCAUUCUCCAUGUGAUUAUUACACAUUGCAUGCCUGUGUCAAAUCAUCUCAUGUACCCCAUAAAUAUAUACAUCUAUGUACCCAGAAAAAUAACAAAUAAAAAGUUAAAAACCCUUGUCAGUUAAUUCUAACGUCUUUUUCCUCUUGAUGUUUGAAUUUGUUGAUCAUCUUUUUUCCUGUAAGUUGAGAUUUUAUGAUCCUUGGUAUAAAGAGCAAUUGUUGAUUGAAACCUGGACAUUGGGGCAUUAUGUUAUGAGAUUCAGGAUACUGUUUAAUCUUAUGUUCUAGCAGGUCUCCUCUGACACUGUUUUGGCAGGGGAAGGGGGACACUGCUUCAUUCCUACCAGGUGGGAGUAGAAAUACAGGUUCUCUCCACUUUGCCCCUAUUGACACCCAAGGGGAGAGCCCCCCUCAUCACUGCUGGGAGGGAGGAUUUUAGACUCCUUACCUGGCCUCUGCUGAUACCACCCUGGCCAGGAGGGGCAGGAAUAUCUUGUUAUUGCUCCCAUGCAGCUUCCACUGACACUGCAUGGGGGUGGCCUUGGUACUGCUGGAGGAGGGAAAGAGUUCUGACUGUCCAGUAGGACUCUUGUGACACUAACCCCAGAGGAGAAAAGAAGAGCCUCACUGCAGCCUGUAGAGUUAAGUCCAGGCUUCCCGUGUGGUCUCCACUGAUACCAUGAUGGUGGGACAGGGAGUGCUUCCAUGUCUCAUAGUAGGAAUGAAAGUCCUGGAUCUCUCACUUAGCCUUCCCUGAUUCCACCCCAGUGGUGAAGUUUGAGUGCCUUAUUACAGCCUGGGAAGGAUAGAAGUCUGGACUCCCCACCUGGCCUUUCCUUGUGUGGAUAUGGGUGGGUGAAAUGAUAUUUUCUGUGGUGUUUGGCUGAGUUGAGUGGUUAUUGUCUAAAGGUUUUCCGCCUUUCUAGGCUGCCUCUUUUCUGGUUCUUUAAGCAGAGCAAGCUCUUUCUGUUUGUUUGUUUGUUUGUUUUGUCUGCACCUGUUGGUGUUUCUGGUUGUUGGUUUCUCCAGCUCCCCCUCUGGGAUAUAUGAGAUAAAAAGCUAAUCCAGGGAGCUCACCACAGUGUCACUCCUGGAGUCUCAACAUCUUUAGGUGGUUUGGCUUCUUCUUCUACCUUUCAGAGUCCUCUUAUGUUUAUUUGAUAUGUAAUUUCCAGGGUUUUUAGGAGGAGGAAUAUGGAAAUAUACAUCAUUCUGGAAGUUCUCUACCUUGUUUUUUAAAUAUAUGAGAAUAAUUAUUCUUAUAACCUAAAUGUCCAAUAACAGAUCAAUGUACCUUAUGGUACAUUAUGCAACCAGUAAAAUGAUGGCUACAGGCUGGGUGCAGUGGCUCACACCUGUAAUCCCAGCACUUUGGGAGGCUGAAGCUGGUGGAUCACAAGGUCAAGAGAUUGAGACCAUCCUGGCUAACACGGUGAAACCCUGUCUCUACUAAAAAAAAAAAAAAAUUAGCCUGGUGUGGUGGCAGACACCUGUAGUCCCAGCUACUUGGGAGGCUGAGGCAGGAGAAUCGCUUGAACCCAGGAGGCAGAGGUUGCAGUGAGCCCAGAUAGUGUGACUACACUCCAGCCUGGGUGACACAGCAAGACUCUGUCUCAAAAAAAAAAUAAAAAAUAAAAAAAGUGAUGGCUACAAUACAAUCUUAUGUUUUUAUUAGAAUUAAAAAUGCUUAGAUGACAUAAAUGAAAGAAAGUUUACACAAGUGUGUGCAUAUGUUAGUAUGAUUAUAGCUGUGUGGAAAAAUCUAUUAUAAGAAAGAAAACUGGAAGAAAGUACCCCAAAAUAUUGACUAUGGCUGUUUGGAAGAUGAAAUCAUAAGUGACCUUUUCCCUUUUAAUGAGCCAAAUUUAAAAAAAGAGAAUCUAGUACUUUUAUAAUCAAAAAAUACAUUUUAUCAUAUUUUAUUCCUAAUAUUUUUCCUCAGAAAGAUACACACAACUAUUUUCUAAGAUAUAUGACA